rnacentral:rRNA from 1 species
UGGGGAAUAUUGCACAAUGGGCGCAAGCCUGAUGCAGCCAUGCCGCGUGUGUGAAGAAGGCCUUCGGGUUGUAAAGCACUUUCAGCGAGGAGGAAGGUGGUGGACUUAAUACGUUCAUCAAUUGACGUUACUCGCAGAAGAAGCACCGGCUAACUCCGUGCCAGCAGCCGCGGUAAUACGGAGGGUGCAAGCGUUAAUCGGAAUUACUGGGCGUAAAGCGCACGCAGGCGGUUUGUUAAGUCAGAUGUGAAAUCCCCGGGCUCAACCUGGGAACUGCAUUGAAACUGGCAAGCUAGAGUCUCGUAGAGGGGGUAGAAUUCCAGGUGUAGCGGUGAAAUGCGUAGAGAUCUGGAGGAAU